AGCGAACGCUGGCGGCAUGCCUAACACAUGCAAGUCGCACGGGGGGCUUCGGCCUCCCAGUGGCGGACGGGUGAGGAACGCGUAGGGACCUGUCGAGGGGUGGGGGAUAACCGCGGGAAACUGCGGCUAAUACCGCAUGACGCCGCGGCGUGACAGCCGGGGCCAAAGGCGAAAGCCGCCCGCCGAGGGGCCUGCGUCCGAUUAGCUGGUUGGCGGGGUAGCGGCCCACCAAGGCGUCGAUCGGUAGCUGGUCUGAGAGGGUGAUCAGCCACACCGGGACUGAGACACGGCCCGGACUCCUACGGGAGGCAGCAGUGGGGAAUAUUGGACAAUGGGCGCAAGCCUGAUCCAGCAAUGCCGCGUGGGUGAAGAAGGUCUUCGGAUUGUAAAGCCCUUUCGGCGGGGACGAUGGUGACGGUACCCGCAGAAGAAGCCCCGGCUAACUUCGUG
rnacentral:rRNA from 1 species